AGCGACGGUUCCCGAUGUGGGAUGAAAAGGGAACCCGGUGCGGUCUAAAGAUCCACUACGGAAACUGGACCAAUGCCGGGGCUGCCCCCGCAACUGUGAACGGUUCGCCUGCGACGACUAGACGGUCACUGGGUUUCUGAAGAUGACAACCCGGGAAGGCCUGCCGCAGGUGUCAAGCCGUGAGCCAGGAGACCUGCCGUUGCU
rnacentral:ncRNA from 1 species